rnacentral:rRNA from 1 species
GACGAACGCUGGCGGCAGGCCUAACACAUGCAAGUCGAACGCCCCGCAAGGGGAGUGGCGCACGGGUGAGUAACGCGUGGGAAUAUGCCCUUCGGUUCGGAAUAACACAGGGAAACUUGUGCUAAUACCGGAUAAGAUCUACGGAUGAAAGAUUUAUCGCCGAGGGAGUAGCCCGCGUAGGGUUAGCUAGUUGGUGAGGUAAUGGCUCCCCAAGGCGACGAUCCUUAGUUGGUCUGAGAGGAUGAUCAGCCACACUGGGACUGAGACACGGCCCAGACUCCUACGGGAGGCAGCAGUGGGGAAUAUUGGACAAUGGGCGAAAGCCUGAUCCAGCCAUGCCGCGUGAGUGAUGAAGGCCUUAGGGUUGUAAAGCUCUUUCGCCAGGGAAGAUAAUGACGGUACCUGGAAAAGAAGCCUCGGCUAACUCCGUGCCAGCCGCCGCGGUAA